UACGUAGGGGGCUAGCGUUGUCCGGAUUUAUUGGGCGUAAAGAGCUCGUAGGCGGUUUGGUAAGUUGGAUGUGAAAUCUCCAGGCUCAACUUGGAGGGGUCAUUCGAUACUGCCAUGACUAGAGUUCGGUAGGGGAGUGUGGAAUUCCUGGUGGAGCGGUGAAAUGCGCAGAUAUCAGGAGGAACACCCGUAGCGAAGGCGGCACUCUGGGCCGGAACCGACGCUGAGGAGCGAAAGCGUGGGGAGCGAACAGG
rnacentral:rRNA from 1 species